ensembl:lncRNA
CUAUAUUUAAAAAAAAAAAAUUCCACAGAACAAUUUCUCGCAGUCUUUAACAAAAAGAGUUCUAGAGAGAGGGAGCCUUUAUUAUCAGCCCUAGGCCGAUGUUUUUCCUACUCAUCUUAGUCAAGAAAAAAUCAAAGGGAGAAUUUGUUACCUCUUAGGGAGCGGCUUAAUUGUUUGCACGGUCCGUAGGCUGCCGAGAGAAAGGCAAAAUGCUGUGUACCAAAAACUAUAAACUGCUUGGACUGUUCUGUUUGAUAAAGGUUCAUAGUUAAUAAAAAAAACUUUCUUUCCCUUCUGCUCUGGGCUAGAUCACGAGCCGCUGACUCUGAUAGCGCCAAGAUUAUGUUCUAUCUCAUACAUAUUUUUCUCUUGGCUGAGUUGAGUUGUUUCAGUGUAAUUUAUUUGUCAGAGGAAGUCAUUAUCAGGAGAAAAGGCAAUUUCUUAGUAAUUAAAGCCAGUCUGAAUUUCUGGAUUGCAAGUUGAAUUUACUAGUUCAGCAGAUCCGAGUACGCGAGUGUUGAAUAUUAUUAGGGAUCGACUCCCUCUUCAUUAUGACCUGGUUUUGUGCCACACGGAAUCUUUGCAUGCUGCUGAAUAUUCUUUUCAGUUGUGCCCGUGGGACCACAGCGGAAGAUGCAGACCAGGGCUUGUCUCAGAGGGUAUGGACUACAAGAAGAUCCCCCAGAAGACACAGAAUGGGAAGCAGCACCCACCACCACCCUUGGGAGCUCCGGUCACCCCGAGCUGGGAGGACAAGGCUAUUGGCAACUUCCAUCUUAUGUGAAAAUAAAGGGCCCAGAGCUUUGAGCCCUCAUGCUUUGCUCCAGAAGUCCACGGAUACCAUGUCACAGAGGACAAGGGCAUCUGGGUAAGCUGGAAGCGGCACGACCUCUCCCUCUCUUUGUCGCAAUUCGGGAAGGAAACGUUUCUGCACAAACGUGAAGAAAUACAGCAGACUUGCCUUAUUUCGGACCACAGGAGGGCGACGUUCAGCUGCAGCUGAAACAAACAGGACUUCCCAAAACAGGUUGCCCAAGGAGAUAGCGGAUGCCCCAGUCCUGGAGGUGUUCAAGGCCAGGAUGGAAGGGGGAGCCUGGUCAUCGGUCACCUUGCACGCAGCUUGAACUUAGAUGAUGAUACCCAGGCCAUUCUACGAUUCUAUCACGGAUUCUAUAUAAAGUAGGUAAGAAAAACAGCAUAGAAGAUGCUGUCUGUUAGCAAUUUGCACAGAAGGAUGCUGAUAGCAUAGCAAUGUUGUUAGUAAAAAAAAAAUAAAAAUCGAGAGGGAUAAAUCAGACAAAGGCUUUUACUAAAAGCUGUGUAUCAUACGGGAUAGAUAAAUGAAGAGUGCAGGUAUUGUGCCUGGGCUGCACGGAUCCUAGUAAAUAACAUCGUUAAGAGAUCUUAGGUCAGUUGUUGUGCAGUAUCACGGAGGGAAAAUAACAAUGACUAAGACUGAAAUAGGAGAAAAGACCUGUAAUGCAAUUAAAUUUUCUUAUGAGCAAAUGCCAGUAGUUGGACACACCUUUACUCAAAAAUUAAAAAGGGGAAAAUGUACAUCAAUGAACAGAUGAAUAAAAUUUAUUUCUCUAACAGUGAAUAUGGUUGAAGUAAUAAAAAAAUAUUCAGUGUGUUGAAGAAGAAGAAGAAGAAGAAGAAGAAGAAGAAGAAGAAGAUGAAGAAGAAGAAGAAGAAGAAGAAGAAGAAGAAGAAGAUGAUGAAGAAGAAGAAGAAGAAGAAGAAGAAGAAGAUGAUGAAGAAGAAGAAGAAGAAGAUGAAGAUGAAGAUGAAGAAGAAGAUGAAGAUGAAGAUGAAGAUGAAGAUGAAGAUGAAGAUGAAGAAGAAGAUGAAGAAGAAGAUGAAGAUGAAGAAGAAGAUGAAGAAGAAGAUGAAGAUGAAGAUGAAGAUGAAGAUGAAGAUGAAGAUGAAGAUGAAGAUGAAGAUGAAGAAGAAGAUGAAGAAGAAGAUGAAGAAGAAGAUGAAGAUGAAGAUGAAGAAGAAGAUGAAGAAGAAGAAGAAGAUGAAGAUGAAGAUGAAGAUGAAGAUGAAGAAGAAGAAGAAGAUGAAGAUGAAGAAGAAGAAGAAGAUGAAGAUGAAGAAGAAGAUGAAGAAGAAGAUGAAGAAGAAGAUGAAGAUGAAGAAGAAGAUGAAGAAGAAGAUGAAGAUGAAGAUGAAGAAGAAGAAGAAGAUGAAGAUGAAGAUGAAGAAGAAGAAGAAGAAGAAGAAGAAGAAGAAGAAGAAGAUGAAGAAGAAGAUGAAGAAGAAGAUGAAGAUGAAGAUGAAGAUGAAGAAGAAGAUGAAGAUGAAGAAGAAGAAGAAGAAGAAGAUGAAGAUGAAGAAGAAGAUGAAGAAGAAGAAGAAGAAGAAGAUGAAGAUGAAGAAGAAGAAGAAGAUGAAGAUGAAGAUGAAGAAGAAGAUGAAGAAGAAGAUGAAGAUGAAGAAGAAGAAGAAGAAGAUGAAGAUGAAGAUGAAGAAGAAGAAGAAGAAGAAGAUGAAGAUGAAGAUGAAGAUGAAGAAGAAGAAGAAGAUGAAGAUGAAGAAGAAGAAGAAGAUGAAGAUGAAGAUGAAGAAGAAGAAGAAGAAGAAGAUGAAGAAGAAGAUGAAGAAGAAGAUGAAGAUGAAGAUGAAGAUGAAGAUGAAGAUGAAGAUGAAGAAGAAGAUGAAGAUGAAGAUGAAGAUGAAGAUGAAGAAGAAGAAGAAGAUGAAGAAGAAGAUGAAGAUGAAGAUGAAGAAGAAGAAGAAGAAGAAGAUGAAGAAGAAGAAGAAGAAGAAGAUGAAGAAGAAGAAGAAGAAGAAGAAGAAGAAGAAGAUGAAGAAGAAGAUGAAGAUGAAGAUGAAGAUGAAGAUGAAGAAGAAGAUGAAGAUGAAGAAGAAGAAGAAGAUGAAGAAGAAGAUGAAGAUGAAGAUG